rnacentral:rRNA from 1 species
UACGAAGGGGGCUAGCGUUGCUCGGAUUGACUGGGCGUAAAGGGCGCGUAGGCGGAUAGUACAGUCAGGCGUGAAAUUCCUGGGCUCAACCUGGGGGCUGCGUUUGUGACUGCAUAGCUAGAGUACGGUAGAGGGGGAUGGAAUUCCGCGUGUAGCAGUGAAAUGCGUAGAUAUGCGGAGGAACACCGAUGGCGAAGGCAGCCCCCUGGGCCAACACUGACGCUCAGGCACGAAAGCGUGGGGAGCAAACAGG